rnacentral:tRNA from 1 species
GCAAUGGUGGUUCAGUGGUAGAAUUCUCACCUCCUAUGUGGGAAAUUCAGGUUCAAUUCCCUGCCAAUGCA